UACGAAGGGUGCAAACGUUGCUCGGAAUCAUUGGGCGUAAAGCGCACGUAGGCGGCUUCGCAAGUCGGAUGUGAAAUCCCUCGGCUCAACCAAGGACGUGCAUCCGAAACUGCGGGGCUUGAGUACUGAAGAGGAUCGCGGAAUUCCCGGUGUAGAGGUGAAAUUCGUAGAUAUCGGGAAGAACACCCGUGGCUAAGGCGGCUCUCUAGUACGGUACUGACGCUGAGACGCGAAAGCGUGGGGAGCGAACAGG
rnacentral:rRNA from 1 species